rnacentral:rRNA from 1 species
AUUGAACGCUGGCGGCAGGCCUAACACAUGCAAGUCGGGCGGUAACAGGGAUAGCUUGCUAUCUGCUGACGAGCGGCGGACGGGUGAGUAAUGCAUAGGAAUCUGCCUGGUAGUGGGGGAUAGCCCAGAGAAAUUUGGAUUAAUACCGCAUACGCCCUACGGGGGAAAGCUGGGGACCUUCGGGCCUAGCGCUAUCAGAUGAGCCUAUGUCGGAUUAGCUUGUUGGUGAGGUAACGGCUCACCAAGGCGACGAUCCGUAGCUGGUCUGAGAGGAGAUCAGCCACAC